rnacentral:rRNA from 1 species
AUUGAACGCUGGCGGAAUGCUUUACACAUGCAAGUCGAACGGUAGAGGGGGCAACCCCUCGAGAGUGGCGAACGGGUGAGUAAUAUAUCGGAACGUGCCCAGUCGUGGGGGAUAACGUAGCGAAAGUUACGCUAAUACCGCAUACGAUCUAAGGAUGAAAGCGGGGGAUCGCAAGACCUCCCGCGUUUGGAGCGGCCGAUAUCGGAUUAGGUAGUUGGUGGGGUAAAGGCUCACCAAGCCAACGAUCUGUAGCGGGUCUGGGAGGAUGACCGGCCACACUGGAACUGAGACACGGUCCAGACUCCUACGGGAGGCAGCAGUGGGGAAGUUUGGACAAUGGACGCAAGUCUGAUCCAGCCAUUCCGCGUGCAGGAUGAAGGCCCUCGGGUUGUAAACUGCUUUUGUACGGAACGAAAAGGUCUCUCUUAAUACGGGGGACUCAUGACGGUACCGUAAGAAUAAGCACCGGCUAACUACGUGCCAGCAGCCGCGGUAA